AUUCAAGUAGCUUAAAUUGUAGAGUAUAACACUGAAGAUGUUAGGGUAAUUGUUAAAUUCUUGAAUG
rnacentral:tRNA from 1 species